CCUACGGGAGGCAGCAGUGGGGAAUAUUGGGCAAUGGGCGCAAGCCUGACCCAGCAACGCCGCGUGAAGGAAGAAGGCUUUCGGGUUGUAAACUUCUUUUGUCAGGGAAGAGUAGAAGACGGUACCUGACGAAUAAGCCACGGCUAACUACGUGCCAGCAGCCGCGGUAAUACGUAGGUGGCAAGCGUUGUCCGGAUUUACUGGGUGUAAAGGGCGUGUAGCCGGUUUGACAAGUCAGAUGUGAAAUCCUGCGGCUUAACCGCAGAACUGCAUUUGAAACUGUUGAUCUUGAGUACUGGAGAGGCAGACGGAAUUCCUAGUGUAGCGGUGAAAUGCGUAGAUAUUAGGAGGAACACCAGUGGCGAAGGCGGUCUGCUGGACAGCAACUGACGGUGAGGCGCGAAAGCGUGGGGAGCAAACAGGAUUAGACACCCCAGUAGUC
rnacentral:rRNA from 1 species